UACGAAGGGGGCUAGCGUUGUUCGGAAUUACUGGGCGUAAAGCGCGCGCAGGCGGUUCUCCAAGUCAGUGGUGAAAGCCCGGAGCUCAACUCCGGAACUGCCAUUGAAACUGUUGAACUUGAGGACGAGAGAGGUGAGUGGAAUUCCCAGUGUAGAGGUGAAAUUCGUAGAUAUUCGGAAGAACACCAGUGGCGAAGGCGGCUCACUGGACUGGUAUUGACGCUGAGGUGCGAAAGCGUGGGGAGCAAACAGG
rnacentral:rRNA from 1 species